AGCUGUCCCCUUUCUUUUGGCACACAGAGCGCUUUCCUUCCACUUAGACGCAGGCAUGUGAAGGCUGCAAAGUCUGCAAGACUUUCCUGAUUAACAUCUAAAUCCUUUGCCUCUAUCUCCUCCUCUUUCCCAAACUUAAAUCAAUAUUUUUAUGUGUACAUAUGUAUCUACUUUCUCUUAAUUGACUGUGUGUUUAUCUUAUUUCCUCCAUUAAAUUGUGAGAUUCCUGAGGGUAAAAAGCAUGUCUAAUCUAUGCUCUAAAUUCCCCUUAGCACCCGCUACAGAAUGCCCCACUCAAGUGAAAUGAAAUCACAAUUCAGAGAGAAUCGCCAGGGCCCCUGGCAGCGCACACUCGGAUGGAGUCCAUGAGUUCCAGUUUUGUCACCCACCCUGGAAAGAAGUUGUUCAUUUUACGUGCCAGAGAGUAUUUGGGCCACAAAUAUGCUUCCUGAGCUUGAAAACAUGGGAGCUAAAUGAAGAAAUAUGUUUUCAUGAAUUUCCCAUCAUUACAGCCAAGAACUCUUAGGCCUGCAGUGACCCUAUUUGAAGAUGUCUCCAGGGACUGACAGAUGGCAUUGUUCUGC
rnacentral:lncRNA from 12 species